rnacentral:rRNA from 1 species
GAUGAACGCUGGCGGCGUGCUUAACACACGCAAGUCGAACGGUGAAGCAGGAGCUUGCUCUUGUGGAUCAGUGGCGAACGGGUGAGUAACACGUGAGCAACCUGCCCCUGACUCUGGGAUAAGCGCUGGAAACGGCGUCUAAUACUGGAUAUGUGAUGUGACCGCAUGGUCUGCAUCUGGAAAGAAUUUCGGUUGGGGAUGGGCUCGCGGCCUAUCAGCUUGUUGGUGAGGGAAUGGCUCACCAAGGCGUCGACGGGUGGCCGGCCUGAGAGGGUGCACGGCAACACUGGGACUGAGACAAGGCCCAGACUCCUACGGGAGGCAGCAGUGGGGAAUAUUGCACAGUGGACGGAAGCCUGAUGCAGCAACGCCGCGUGAGGGAUGACGGCCUUCGGGUUGUAAACCUCUUUUAGCAGGGAAGAAGCGAAAGUGACGGUACCUGCAGAAAAAGCACCGGCUAACUACGUGCCAGCAGCCGCCGUAA